rnacentral:lncRNA from 1 species
GCAGUUGAAUAUGGUAGAAGUGGGAAUUGAAGCCAGGUGUGCCUCACUCCAAAGGUUACACCCCUGCUGCCCUGACAAGUAACAAUGGGCCUCUUCCAGUGAAAUGCUUCCGUGGUUGCCUGCUGCUCUUGGUUUUGGUGUCAUCUUGUUUUACGACUUCCCUGCACAUCCUGAUUUGAGGACAAGAACGAACGAGAAGAUUUAAAGUGAAAAAGGACAUUGAGUUGAUUUGAAUGAGAAAUAUAUCUGCAAGGAGAUAGAGCCUUGCUUUGUUCUCUAGGCUGGAGCAUGCUGGCGUGAUCACGGCUCACUGCAGACUCAAGCAACCCUCCAACCUCAGUCUUCUGAGUAGUUGGGACCACAGGGAAAGAGACCUGCAGUUAAAUUUGAAAUGAUGGACAACUUGACCCCAAAAAGACCUUGCUGUAAUUUGAAUUCCUGUUGGCUGUCUGAAAGGUGAGAUAAGGUUAGAGCUAAAGGUGAGUAAAGUAGACUAAAAGGCACUUCAAGCCUGGAAAACUUGUUUGCUUAGAUGCAGUUUUAUCCAUACAAUCACAGUCAUAUUUCUAUUUGUGUUUCAUAUCAGAUGGUGGCCUGGUAGGUAUUUCUUGGUGCGAGUAUGAACUCUAGACUGAAACAGGAUUGAAGAACAGAGUAAUUUAAGCAAAUAUUGAAUUUCAAAUGCAAGGUCUCACUUAAAUGUAGGUAGAAGAGUCCACCUGUAUUUAAAGAACAAUGUAAGUAUUAAUAUAAAAGAGAAAGAUGACACAGAAAAAUCAAGGAGACCAAAAGAUGGUUAUUUGAGAAGGUCACUGACAUUGAUAAAAUAGAUAUUAAGAGUAUGUGGGAGUGACUGAAAGGGAAUUAUUGGCCUUUGUGCCCAAAUAUCUUUCCCAGUUACCCAAACAGUGAUAUUACUCAAUUCACUAGUUAAGACAUUGAUAUGUCUUAUUCAGAUGGAAAAUAAAGUUUGAAUAGAAUAAAAUAUGAAAUCAUCACCAGCUAUUAAUAUCUUAUGGUUAUUAUAUUACUAGGUCGGUUGGAGUCUUAGAGAUGGGUCAAAGGACGGGUAAGUUUUGAUGAGGGACAGGGUUUGGGAGGUUCAGAAGAUAAGAGGAUACCUAACGUUCCAUCUUGCUGAAGAAGAAACCAAAGCAAUAGAAAGAAUUGUGCCUUAUGCUGAAAGAUGAUUCCAGUUUUAUUUCCAGAAUGUUUUUUCCUCUUGGAACAUAUGUGUAGAUUUAAAUGUGACUUCUGUUGAGCCGUAUUAAUUCUCCUAUCUUUUUCCUUAAAAUGUACAAUAAGAAACAAAGAAGACUAGCUCCCUCUAAGAAGAAAACAGACUAUGAUACGAUAGAGAAAUGUUGAUGAAAAGAGUCAAAACCUGUAAAAUAUUUAGAGAGGUUUAUUCUGAGGCAAAUAUGGGUAGCCAGUGACGCAGCCCCAGGAGGUCUUGAGAACAUGUCCCCAAAGUGGUUGGUUUACAGAUUAAUUUUUAUUUUUUUUUUUGAGAUGGAGUUUUACUCUUGUUGCCCAGGCUGGAGUGCAGUGGUGCAAUCUUGGCUCACUGCAACCUCUGCCUCCCAGGUUCAAGUGGUUCUCCUGCCUCAGCCUCCCAAGUAAAUGGGAUUACAGGCAUGCACCACCACACCUGGCUAUUUUUGUAUUUUUAGUAGAGACAGGAUUUCACCAUGUUGGCCAGUCUUGUCUCGAACUCUUGACCUUAAGUAAUCUGGCCACCCUGGCUUCCCAAAGUGCUGGGAUUACAGGCCUGAGCCACUGUGCCCUGCCUACAGCUUGAUUUUAUACAUUUUUGGGAAACAGAAGUUACAGGCCAGCAUCAAUCACUACUUGUAAGGUACACAUUUGUUCAGUAUGGAAAGGCAGGGCAACUCGAAGCGGAGGGUUCCAGGUCAUAGGUAGUUACCAAGAUUUUCUGAUGUGGUUGAAAGGAUUAGGUUAUUAUCUAAAGACCUGGAAUCAACAGAAAGGAAUGUCUAAGUUAAGAUAAGGGGUUGUGGAAACCAUGGUUGUUAUGCAGAUGAAACCCUAAGUAGCAGGCUUUAGAGAGAUUACAUGGUAAAGGUGCCAGACUCUUAGUUAAAUCUCUCUUGGAUCCGGAAAAGACCUGGAAAGGGAAGGGUGUUCUCUACAGAAAGUAGAUUUUCCCCACAAGAGACAGCUUUGCAGGACCACUUCAAAAUAUGUCAGAGACAUAUAUUUUGGGGUAAAAUACUUUGAUUUUUUUUCAGUAUCUGCUAUCUUUGAUGUGAUACUAUACUGGAGUCAGAUUAGAAUUUGGUAUCUUAUUACUACAAAGAGCUUGUUUUGUCACUCAUAAGAUCUCUGUUUCAGUGUUAAUGCUGGGUAGCUGUGAUGGAAUUCCAAAGAGAGGAGAGUAUAAUGAGGCAUGUCCAAUACCCAGCCCCCUUCCCAUCAUAGCCUAAACUAGUUUUUCAUGUUUAUUGUGGAAUUCCCUUGGCUGAGAGUGGGAUCCAUUCAGUCUGUUUUGGGGAUUAGAAUUUUAUUUUUGCUUUACUGAAGAAAGGCUAUUACUUGAAGCAAGUGAAAAAUGCUAUAUGCAAAUUAUGAGAAUACACAAACACCUACAUCUACAUCUACCUAAGGAAUGGCUAAUUCUAUUUGUCAGCUUGACUGGGCUAAAAGAUGCCCAGAUAGCUGGUAAAACAUUAUGUAUGGGUAUGUUUGUGAGAGCUUUUCUGGAAGAGAUUAGCAUUAGAAUCAGUAGACUGAGUAAAGAAGAACAACUUCACCAAUAUGUGUGGACAUCGUCCAGUCCAUUGAGAGCCCAAAUAGAACAAACGGUGGAGGAAGGGUGAAUCAUUCUGUUUAAAUUGGGUCAUUCGUCUUCUCCUGCCCUGGGAGAUUGGAGCACCUCGUUCUCAGGCCUUCUGACUCAGACAUGGACUUAACACUAUCAGCCCUGCCCCAGUUUAAGGCCUUCAGACUCAAACUGAGUAACACUACCAGCCUUCCUGGUUCUCCAAGGUUGCAGAUUGCAGAGUGUGGGACCUGUUGGCUUCCAUAAUCAUCUGAGCCAAUUACCAUAAUAAACCCAUACCCCUGGAUUCUCCUCUACUUAAGGGUUAUAGCCCCGUAAGUCAUGUUUAUUGUGGAAAUGUGAAAAUGCAUUUAAUACACCUAACCUACCUACCAUCAUAGCCUACCUUAAACAUUCUCAGAACAUUUAUAUUAGCCUAUAGUUGGGCAAAGCAUCUAACACAAAGCCUAUUUUAUAACAAUCUGUUAAAUAUCUCAUGUAAUAUAUUGAAUAUUUUAUUAAAAUAUACCACUUUUAUACCAUCAGUAAGUUGAAAAAUCGUAAGUGAAACCAUCAUAAGUUGGUGACUGUAUGUCUGUGUAUAUAUAUAUAUGUGUGUGUGUGUGUGUGUGCACAUAGAUACCUAUCUAUAGAUCUCUACAUAGGUUCUGUUUCUUUGGAGAAACCUAACUAAUACAGAUUUUGGUACUGAGAGUGUUUAUAGAGCAAUCAAAUUUUAAUAAUGACUUUCUUAAUUAGAUCUAGGGUUUCUGGAAUUGGCUUUCACAUCUGAUUAGAUUUAAAGGCAAUAGUGAUGCUAUUUCCAGUGGUAAAGAGAGCACUGAUCGUCUAAGCCAUCAUCUGUUUAUAGAGACAUGCAUAUUAUCUGCACUGGAUACUCAUAAUUAACUACUUACAAGAAGCAAGGAGUUUGGUGACUCUGUAUAUGAUUGAUACUUUUGGACAUUUUUUGAAUACUAAGGAACAUAAUGAUGUCAGAUGGUUGUUUCUAAUGUUAUUGGAAAAAGUGUUGAAAUAAAUGAAUGAACUCAAGGAUUUGAAUUCCCAGCUCAAGAGACUCAUAAAUGAACCUGGGCAACGUGGCAAAACCCCGUCUCUACUAAAAAUACAAAAAUUAAUCGGGUUUGAUGGUACAUGCCUGUAGCCCCAGUCACUCGGAAGCCUGAGGCAUAAGAAUUGCUUGAACCUGGGAGGUGGAGGUUUUAGUGAGCCGAAAUUGCACCAUAGCACUCCAGCCUAGGUGACACAGCAAGAGUCUGUGUCAAAAAAAAAAAAAAAAAAAAGAGAGAGUGAGAGAAAGAGACCCAUAAAUGACCUAAGAGUUUCUAAGUGUCCUCUGAAGGAGGGCAUUAUCACUUGUAGCCACAGGGUGGAAAUUGCUGAAAAUUAAGAACUUCGUCCUGCAAUUGGCUGAAUUUUAAUGCGAGAUGAAGUCCCAGCUCUACAGGGUGACUGCUGUUAAAGUGAGGGCAACUUAUUGGGGAAAAAAUGUAAGUUGGGAUGGGGGCCUGUGGAAAUACCCUGACGCAGCUGGGGACACUAAGCCCCUGAAUUAUGAUGAAUCUUCUUUGACAUUGAAAGCAGUCUCCCCACACCAAUGGAAGUGGCUGCCCUACCCCAGGUGGAAUUGGGUCCCCGCUACCACAGUGGUAUCAGCUUUUCCGCCACCAUCUGAGAGUACUAAUACUGAGGAAAAGGGUAAUGGCCUCCCCUGAGGCAGCUGCCACGUAAGAUAAUGCUGAUUAUCCUCAGUAUCCACCCUGCUACCGCUCUUUUCUUCUAGACUUGUAACAAGACUCAAGUCUCAGCAGACCCCUAAAGAUAAGGUACAAAAUAUGACUUAUGCGGAGAUGUACUACAUGCCAAAAGAACUACUUGAAUUCUUGAAUUUUCUUUAUCUUUUUUUUUUUUUUGAGAUGGAGUCUCGCUUUGUUGCGCGGGCUGGGGUGCAGUGGUGCAAUCUCAGCUCACCAACCUCCACCUCCCAGGUUCAAGCCAUUCUCCUGCCUCAGCUUCCUGAGAAACUGGGUUUACAGGUGCACACUACCACAUCUGGCUAAUUUUUGUAUUUUGAGUACAGAUGGGGUUUCUCCAUGUCAGCCAGGCUGGUUUUGAACUCCUGAACCUCGUGAUCCACCCUUCUCAGCCUCCCACAGUGUUGGGAUUACAGGCGUGAGCCACCGCGCUCAGCUUAACUACUUGAAUUUUCUAAUUCACACAAGCAAAAAUCUGGGGGACAUACAUAGAAUAGAUAUUAAGGGUAUAGGGUAAUGGUGGAAGGAACAUAAAGUUGAAUUGGGCUGAAUUUAUUGAUAUGGACUCACUAAGAAGAGAUUCUGCAUUUAAUGUUCCAGUUCAGGGAGUUAGAAAGGGCUCUUUCAGUUUGUUUGGUUUAUUGCUGAAACAUGGAUCAAAAGAUGGCCCAGUAUGAGCGAAUUAAAAACGUUGGAUCUCCCUUGAUUUAAUAUGGAGGAAGAGAUUCAAAGGCUUAGAGACACCGGAAUGUUAAAUUGGAUUUAUCAUUGAAGACCUACUUACCACCCACAUGGGCAGGGUCUAGAAGGCAUACCAUUUACCAAUACUUUCAGAAAUAAAUUUGUGAGGGGAGCCCUAGUAUCCUUGAAGAGUUCCAUGAUUGCUGUUCUCUGUAGGUCAGACAUUUCAGUGGUAACCCCAGGUUCUUGCACUCUCCCAGGAUAGAAAUCAAAAGAGAUCACUGAACACAAGCAGCAAACAUUAAGUUUAAGUUUAUUCCACCUUGUGCACAAGGGAGCUAGCCCUGAGAAAGGAAAAACAAGUGAACUGUUCCCCAAGGACAGUAUGUGAGUUAGUUUUAUAAGGUCUUUCCAUAGGGAAAGCUUACAUCAGCAGGUACAUGUACAGGAGGAGCUUUUCUAACACUUGCAUGGUGGUCAACAUGCUUCUUCAUACAUUGUAUGUAACAUUAGCAUUUUAAAUCGCUACCCUGGGCAUGAAAAUGAGGAGGCAUUAAAAUGAUGAAGAGGUAACUUUAGGUUGGAGUUUAAGUCUAGCUGUGCAUGCAGAGCUCUGGGGAAAUCCCUAGCCCUCUGAAAUAGAAGCUUGUGGUUAAUAGUCUCUUGGGUCUCUUGUUAGUGACUGUCUGAGAGAUAAGCUAGAGUUUCAGUGAGGGGCUUUUAUCCUUUUCCUCCAGACCAUCUUAAAAUAGGGAAUCAACCAACCUGCCUGUCUCAACCUCAGCUACUCAAUUAGAAAACUUAAAUGCAAUGAAAGUGAUUGGACCUUGGGAUGCCAGAGAAUAAAUAGUAGCACUGAACUGCCAGGAGCAAGGUCAGUGUCAUUAAUAAUGGACAGCAGGGCGAAAGUAGUAAUCAGAAUAGUCUGACUUGGUCAGACCUAUGGUGUUGAGCAGUUAAUCACAGUGUUCCUAGAAAUGAAAUAGAUAUUGUAUUAGUCAGGGUUCUCUAGAGGGACAGAGCUAAUAGGAUAGAUGUAUGUGUGUGUGUGUGUGUGUGUGUGUGUGUGUGUGUAUAUAUAUAUAUAUAUAUAUAUAUAUGAGUUUAUUAAGGAGUACUGACUCACACAAUCACAAGGUGAGGUCUCACAGUAGGCCAUCUGCAAGCUGAGGAUCAAGAAAGCCAGUCUGAGUCCCAAACCUGAAGAACCUGGGGUCCAAUGUUUGAGGGCAGGAAGCAUCCAGCACAGGAGAAAGAUAGAGGCCAGAAGACUGAACCAGUCUAGUCUUUCCUCAUUCUUCUGCCUGUUUUUAUUCUGGCCAUGCUGGCAGCUAAUUAGAUGGUACCCACCCAAACUGAGGGUGAGUCUGCCUCUCCCAGUCCACUGACUCAAAUGUUAAUCUCCUUCGGCAACACCCUCACAGACACACCCAGGAGCAAUAUUUUGCAUCCUUCAGUGCAAUCAAGUUGACAAUCAGUAUUAACCACAACAGAUACCAAGCCUACUAAAUUCUUACAUAAUCUGUAUAAGCAGAAAAGUUCUAGGUCAGGUGGGCAAAAGUAUAACUUGAAUCAUAAAAACAGAGAGUCAUAGCCCCUUAAUGAAUUCUCAGACUUGAGCCAGUUUACAGACACAGAAUCACUUGAAUGAAGAGAAGGAAAGGUGCCCUUGAGGAAAGUCUCUGAUAUACUACUGAUAAAUGUACAUACUAUUCAUCUUUUUCCCACUUUUCCCCAAAUUUACCUAUUUUUGCCAGGGACUGCAUUUAGGCAAAGAAAAUAAUGAGACAUUUUCAGGACUACUAGGCACUGGCUACAAACUGACUAGUUCCAGGAGAUCCAAAUCAUCAUUUGACCCUCCAGUCAGAAUUGGGGCUUAUAGAGGUCAGGUAAUGAAUGGAUUGUAAGCUCAGGUCUGCCCCACAGUAGAGCUAGAGGGUCUCCAACCCAUCCUGUGGUUAUUUCACCAAUUCCAGAAUGUAUACUUGGGAUAGACAUAUUCCGCAAUCCUUACAUUGUUUCCAUGACCUUUGGAUUGAGGGCUAUUAUUGUGGUGAAGGCCAAGUAAAAGCCACUGGAACUGCCUCCUCAGGAAAAUAGUAAAUCAAAAACGUUAUAGCAUUCCUGGAGGGAGUGUAGAACCAUCUGUAAAGCAGGUUCUGGUCUUCUCUUCUUUUGUCUACUGGCAGGAAACUCCUCAUGCAGCCAUAGGUGCAGGCUGGGAGAGAGAAGGCAGGGUAGCAAGAGUGGGGACCAUAGGCAUUUGAGCUACUUCUUCAUGCAACUUACUUGUGCCUUCAAGACCUGCUCAGGCCUUAUUACUUACAUACCACUUCCAUUUGAUGAAGGAGUACUGAUGUACGUGGCCAAAUUUAUGACUUGUUGGGUCAGAUAACAUACAAUUCAGAUCACAUGAUUCUUUGGUGGCCCAUGAUUCAAUUACAGUGCUAGCUACAUGGCAGUACCUUGCAGGGCUUGGGUAAGAUUGUCCAGAAGGAUAUUCUGAAUUGGCAUCCUAUAUAUGGUAUGUUUUUUUCUGAUAGCCGGGUUUCAUGGGUCCAGGAAUCAAAAGGUGGAAAUAGGAGUGACACCACUCACUGUUAUUCCUAGUGACCUUCUAGCAAAUUUUUUACUUUCUGUUCCCACAACUUUAUGCUCUGCUGGCCUAGAGGUGUUAGGUCCAAUGCAAAUCAAGAGAUUAGUGCCACCAUCAAAAACUUGAAAGGUGCAGGGUUGGUGACUCCCACCACAUCCCCAUUCAACUCUCCCAUUUGGCCUGUGCAGAAGACAGAUGGAACUUGGAGAAUGAUAGUGGAUUAUUCUAAGCUUGAACAAGUUAUGACUCCAAUUGCAGCCGCUGAAGCAGACGUGCUUUCAUUGCUUGAACAAAUGAAUGCAUUCCCUGGUAUGUGGUACACAGAUAUUGAUCUGAAAAAUGCCUUUUUUUCCUAUACCUUUCCAUAAAGUCCUCCAGAAGCCAUUUGCUCUCAACUGGCAGGGUCAGCAAUACACCUUCACUGUCCUACCUCAAGGGUAUAUCAAUUCUUCAUCUCUAUGUAAUAAUUUAGUUCACAGAGGUGUUUUCUAAAACACUUACUGGUUUAUUAGAAAGGAUAUUACAAAGGUCACAGAUGAAGAGAUGCAUAGGACAAGGUAUGGAAAGGGGCGUGGUGCUUCCAUACCCUCCCAGGCAGGAGUGGUAUUCUCCAGGAACCUCCUCAUGCUCAUCUAUUUGGAAGCUCUCUGAACCUGUCCCUUUGGGGUUUUACGGAGGCUACAUUAGGUAGGCAUGACUGAUUAACUCAAUGGCCAUUGAUGAUCAGCUUAACCUUCAGACUCUCUUUCCCAGCCAGAGGUUGGGCUGAAAGUCCCAAUCCUGUAAUCAUGCCUUGCUUUUUCCAGUAACCAGCCCCUAUCCUGAAGCUGCCUAGGGGCUGCCAGCCAUCAGUCAACUCAUUAGCAUACAAAAGACAUCACUUUAGAGAGCCUAAGGAUUUUAGAAUUUGUAUACCAGGAAACAGGUUGAAGACCAGUUCGCAGGAAUCUUGACUGCCUUUCUCUUCAGAUGGAUAUCACACUGGCGCAUUACAUUGAUGACAUUAUGCUGAUUGGACCUAGUGAGUAAGAAGUAGCAACUACUCUAGACUUAUUGGUAAGAUAUUUGCAUGCUAAAGGGUGGCAAAUAAACUGAAUUAAAAUGUAGUGACCUUUUACAUAAGUGAAAUUUGUAUGGGUCCAGUGGUGUGGCACAUGUGAGAUAUUCCUUCUAAGGUGAAAGAUAAGUUGUUGCAUCUGGUCCCUCCUACAACCAAGAAAGAGACACAAUGCCUAUUGAGCCUCACUGGUUUUCAGAGGCAUCAUAUUCCUCAUUUGGCUCUGUUGCUCCAGCCCGUUUACCAAGUGACCCAAACAGCUGCUAGUUUUGAGUGGGGCCCAGAACGAGAGAAAGUUCUGCAACAGGUCCAUGCUGCUAUGCCAGCUGCUCUGCCACUUGGGCCACGUGACCCCACAGAUAUGAUGGGGCUUAAAGUAUCAGUCAUAGGUAGGGAUGCUGUUUGGUGCCUUUGGCUGGCACCUGUGGGUGAAAUGCAGCACAGACUUUUAGGAUUUGGAAGUGAGGCCCUGACAUCAUCUGCAGAUUUAAAAAUACUUUCAAGAGACAGCUCUUGGCUUGCUACGAAGCCUUAACUGACUAGUUUCAGGAGACCCAAAUCAUCAUCUGACCCUCCAAUCAGAGUAGGGGCUUAUAGAGGUCAGGUAAUCAAUGGAUUUUAAGCUCAGGCAUGUCCUACAGUGGGUCUAGAGGGUCUCUAAACCCAUCCUGUGGUUAUUUCACUCACCAAUUCCAGAAUGUAUACUUGGGAUAAACAUACUCUUCAAUCCUUACAUUGUUUCCAUGACCUGUGGAGUGAGGGCUAUUGUGGUGAAGGCCAAACACUGACUGCUUGAUCAUGGGCCACCAAAGAAUCAUGAGACCUGAACUGUACGUUAUCUGACCCAACAAGUCAUAAGGUUGGGCAUGCACAGCAGCAUGUCUUCAAGUGGAAGUGACAUAUAAAUGGUCAGGUCUGAGCAGGUCCCAAAAGCACAAGUAAGUUGCAUGAAGAAGUGGCCCAAAUGUCUAUGGUUCCCACUCCUGCUACACUGCCUUCUCUCUCGCAGCCUGUGAAUGCAUGGGGAGUUCCCUAUGACCAGUUGACAAAGAAAGAGAAGUUUGUAGCCUAGUUUACAGAUGGUUCUGCACAAUAUGUAGGCACUACCCAGAAGUGGACAGCUGCAGAGGGCUGUAGAGCCCUUCUCUGGGGCAUCCUUGAGGGACAGUGGUGAAGAGAAAUCCUCCCUGUGGGCAGAACUUUGGGUGGUGCAUCCGGUUGUGCACUUUGCUUGGAAAUGGCUGGAAAUGGCUGGAUGAGCAAUUAUAUACCAACUCAUGCUCAGUAGUCAAUGGUUUGGCUAGAUGUUUAGGAAAGAAACACGAUGGAACAAUAAGUGGCAGAGAAGUCUAGGGAAGAGGUAUGUGGCUAGAACUCUCUGAAUGGGCAAAAAACAUGGAUAUUUGUGUCCCACAUGAAUGCUUACCAGAGGAUGACCUCACCAGAGAAGGAUUUUAACAAUCAAGUCAAUAAGAUGACCUAUUUUAUGGAUACCUCCUGCUUCUUUCCCCAGCCACGUCUGUCAUGAUCCAAAGGGCCAUGGUUGCAGGGACAGAGGUUAUGUAAGGGCUCAGCAACAUAGACUUUCACUCAUCAAAACUGACUUGGCUUUGGCCACUGCUGAGGGGUCAAAUCUGCCAACAGCAGAGAUCAACACUGAGACCUCCCAAUGUGGCACAAUUGCCCAAGGUGAUCAUCCAGCUAACCUGGGGGUGGGUUGAUUGUAUUGGAUCACUGCCACCAUGAAAGGGGCAGUGUUUUGUCCUUACUGAAACAGAUAUUUACUCUGGAUAUAAAUUUGCCUUCUCUGUAUGCAAUAAUUCUGACAAAACUACCAUCUGUGGACUUACAAAAUGUCUUAUCCACCGUCAUGUUUUUAUAUACAGCAUUAUUUCUUAAGAAGAAACUCACUUUAUAGGAAAAAAAAAAAAAAAAAAAAACAACAACAACAGAAAAAAACGCAGCAAUGGGCUCAUGCUCAUGGAAUUUGCUGGCCUUGCUAUGUUAUGUUCUGUACUGUCUUGAAACAGCUGGUCUGCUAGAACAGUGGAAUGGCUUUUUGAAGACUCAUUUGCAGUGCCAGCUACAUGGCAAUAUUUUUCAGGCUGGGGCAAGAUUGUGCAGAAAGAUGCUCUGAGUCAGUAUCUUAGAUAUGUUUCUCUGUUAGCCAGGAUUCAUGGGUCCAGGAUUCAUGGGUCCAGGAAUCACGGGGGAGAAAUGGCAAUGGCACCACUCAUUGUUACCCCUAGUGGCUCAUUAGCAAUUUUUGCUUCCUGUUCCCACAACUUUAUGCUCUGCUGACCUAGAGGUGUUAAAUCUAGAGCAAGGAAUGUUUUCAACAGGUGACGGAAUACUGAUUUCAUGGGACUGGAAGUUAAGACUGCCAGUAGGCUGCUUUGGACUCCUCGUGUCUCUGAGUCAACAGGCUAAAAAGGGAGUGACAGUGUUGGCUGGGGUGAUUAAUUUGGAAUUCCAAGGGGGAAAUUGGACUGCUCUUCCACAACAGAAGUAAGGAAGAAUAUGCCUAGGAGACACAAGAUCCCUUAGGACAUCCCUUAGAAUUACUGUCCCCUAUGGUUGAGGUGAAUGGAAAGCUACGCCAGCCCAACCCAGGUAUCCUACUAAUGGCCCAGACCCUUCAGGAAUAAAGUUGUUGGGUCAUUCCAGGGGCAAAGAACCAUGACAAGCUGAGGGCUGAGGUGUUUGCUGAAGGCAAAGGAAAUAUGGAAUGGGUAGUAGAAAAAUGUAAUUAUACAUACCAACUACAACUGUAUGAUCAGUUACAGAGAUGAAGACUAUAAUUAUAGUUCUUUCCUAUUUUGUUAUCAAUAUAUUUGUGUCUAUGUAAACAUAUAUUAAGCAAAUAUCUUUGUUUUCUUUAUUCUCUUGAUAAGGCCAUUGGUGACCUAUGCAAGAAUAUUAUCAGCCUAGUGAUGAGGUGGUAAGUCGUAUUUCAGGAUACUAAAAAGAGAAUGAAUAGAGAGGAAUAGAAAACUGUGUUGUAAGAAACUGUCUUUGAACACAAGGAGAAUAAGAAUAAGCAGGAAAGUUCAAAAUGGUCAUGCUUUCCCGCCUCAAACUGAGAGAGGUUUGAGCUUAUUUCAAAGCAGAAAAGAGGAGCGAGAAAUGCUAUAGAUGCCAGAGAAAAGAGCCCAUAACAGAAACAGUGAAGAUAGAAGGUUAUUUACUUUGGAAAUAAUAUUAAGCAACUCUCCCUUGAAAUGUAGCAUAAGAACAUAGAUCUAGAGGGAAAAGGAAAAAGAGUGUCAGAUGAAUAAGGAGUAAUAACAGAGUGUUAUCGAGGACUUGAAGAAGAAAGGUUUGAACUACCACUUGUUCUGUGUGCACAAAGUUUAAAAUAAUUCAAUAUAAAAGGUGAGAGCAACAACAAAAUCCUGGUUGAACCUAAUGGUGUGUCUUUUUGGAUAAAAAGUGUUCAAAGAGACCACAUAAUUGUUCAUAAACAUUUACUGCUAUAGCAUCACUUUACUACUUGCUAAUUAAUUCACUAAGAUUGAUGAGGAUUAAAUUGGGAGAGCGAGAUACUGGAAAAUUUUAUUUUCUGAUCCUACGCACUCACACCCAAUGUGAGCCAAAGCCCCGGUUGUCAAUGGUUACACCACUGUGAUUCAGAAGAAAGCUGUUCCACAUUAGUAAAUUAGAUUAAAAACACAUUGUUACUUUCAACAUUAGCAAAAGCCACAUGGUAUGUUGCAACAAAGCAGAAGAUUAGGGAGCAUAAUAUCUUUCCAAACUAAGCAAGGUGGCAGGGUGGCAAGCACUUACUCACUUACAUCUUGGGGAUGCAAGAGGAGUUCUUGCUUUAAAAGUAGAAUUAACUCUGAGGAAGUAGAGCAAAGGCAUUGUUCAUCAGAAAGACCAGACAACGAGACAUAGUUGAUGUCAAGAUAAACUACAUGAGAGAAGCAUGAGGGAAAUCUGGCAAAGGUAAUCAUAUGCCGAGAAAAAGAGAAAUGUAAUUUAGGAAGUAGGAAACCAGUAGCUACUGUGAUUAGCUGGCAGAGAGGCAAAGGAAAAAGAGCUGAAACUCCAACUAAUAAUAUACAUUAAAAUGGAGGGAUGAUGUUUUUUUCCCACAUGCGUUUUUCUCUUUAUUAAAUAGGAACUGCAUUGAAAUUUGAAUGUAGCUUCUCAGAAUAAAUCUGGGCAUGUGUCCAACCUUGUUAUUUCCACUUCCAAGGUCAAUGAGCUAAUAUUUCAGUAGCACGUGUUUGCCUUUCAUUUAGGCUUAUUUCAAGCUCGAUCAUUACAGAGAAGGCUCUUCUCCUAUUCCUGUUCCAUUAUUGUAGCCCAUACCAGAGGAAAAGUGUUUCUGGACACUUGUAGACAAAGAAAAUAGCCCGACUCCAUUCUUCUUUAAGUCUAAUGACACGUGAAAUAGGUAUCAUUUGGUUAUGAUCGUAACACAAUCGCUAGUGUCUAACCCAGCAAACAAAGGUUUCAGAUAGAUCCCAAGAGACAAUUUUUCCUGAGAAAUUAGAACAGGAUUUCAGAAAUCAGCAGAGUACUUUCUAAUAGGAGAUUACUGUCAGCAUACUCUGGGGACUAAAGACAAGGGUGGGCCACUGGAGAGCCUGGAAAUAGAUCACACAGAAUUCACUCCAAACUAAUUAUCAGUUUUCAUUGAAAUCAUCUGUACCAAAGGGCUCAGGAUUUGAGCAGUGACUGUACAAGUAGACUGUCGUGGUUUCCUAUAGAUUCAUGGCAGGCAGCAGCAUCAGGAAAGAGGCCAGAAAUGGCUCUUUUAUAAACCUGGAAUAAGUGAUGUAUCAAAAAGACACCUCAGGAGUGGAAAUUUACACAUAAGCUCGGGUAGGAAGCUAGAAUGAUCCAUGUGAUAAUUGAUUAGAGUUGAAGGCAUCAAUGUGAACUCACGUUUAGCUUAAUAUAGAUAUAAAUUAUUAUGUAUAAGAAUAUUUAUAGAUAUUUGUGUCUAGACAGGUCAGACUAUACACAUAUAUUUCCUUGUUCUGUCAGCUGAGGUCUCAGCUGUAACAAGCACACCCUAAUAUGCAGAUCUUAAGAUCUUAGUUUCUGUUUCUUUUCCUUCCUUCCUUCUUUCUUUCUUUCUUUCUUUCUUUCUUUCUUUCUUUCUUUCUUUCUUUCUUUCUUUCUUUCUUUCCUUCCUUCCUUUCUUUCUUUCUUUCUUUUUUUUUUUUGUGACAGGGUCUUGCUCUGUCACCCAGGCUGGAGUGCAGUGGCAUGAACAUGGCUCACUGCAGCCUCUGCCUCCUGGGCUCAAAAAUCCUCCUACCUCAGCCUCCCGAGUAGCUGGGACCACAGGUAUGUGCCACCAUGCUUGAAAUUUUCUAAAAAAUUAAUUUUUAUUUAGAGCUCGGGUUCUUGCCAUGUUGCCCAGGCUUGUCUUGAACAUCUGGGCUCAAGCAGUCUGCCCAUCUUGGCCUCCCAAAGUGCUGGGUACAGGUGGUAGCCACCAUGCCUGGCCAAGAUCUUUGUUUCUAAUGCCAUUGUCCAAUAAAAGAAACUAUAGCUCCUUGAAGAAAUAACUUGUUCUGGGAUUGGGGUAGGAAGUGUACAAGAUGAGCCUGGAGAAUCUUACAGUAUAAGAAAGUAAGAAAAUACUAAAAAGAAAAAAAUCCACAAUAAUGGGGGCAUAUCAAAGAAACACAGCAGCCAACUGAAAGAGCACCCAAUAGCCAAAGCUGGAAUAAUUUGAGCAAAAAGAAACAAAAAAUUCCAAAAAGAUAUAGUAGUAUUAGUUUAUAACCCAAAGUAUAAAAUAAAUAUCCAUGAAUCCACACUGAUGUAAAUUAAUGAUUACAUCCAUAAAUAAAUGAGGAUGGUGAGACAAAUCUCUCAUGUGAAAUAAUUCCAAAUAAUACAUGUAGACAGUGGUCCUCAAGGAGAGGCAGCUUGACUUGUCACUCCUCAAAUGUGGGAUGGGCAGAGUGACUUUCCCCGACAGAUGAUAGCAUGUGUGGGUAACAUUACAGUGGGAAAGCCUAACAAAUAUUACUACAAGCAAGUCAUCAAUCACCUGGGACACUAGAUGAGGCUGGUAGAACAGGCUGUGCUUAUACAAUUUAUUCAUUGUAAGUUGUGGUUUCUGUUCAAAUUAACUCUUUUGUAAGUGUAUAUACAUUUUGUUUAGCUUUCUGUUUACCAAAUAACGUUUUAUGGAUAUCCAGGGCUCCAGCUUCCUAUCCACCUGCCUCAAAAUGUUGUGUCACAAACACAAUGACAGUUUAUCAUUUAAAAAAAUCCUCCAAACUAAAAUCUUGGUAGAUAGUAAGGGGGAACAAGAAAAACAAUUAACCCUGCUUGUAGGCAAAUCCCUAGGCUGGAAACACUUUUCCUCUUCUAAGGGUGGAUAAAUAAAAAUCAUUAUAGAGCUCAUGAAAACAUGCUGCAACAUAAAAAAUAAAAACAAAGAUCCAUAGGAUGGUUAUAAAUGGAGAAAUGAUUAACCACAAGAAAAUAAUUAAUUUUAAAAGUGAAUCUGCUCUGAGUUCUUAAUAAAAUGUAA